UACAGAGGUCUCGAGCGUUAGGCGGAAUCACUGGGCUUAAAGCGUGUGUAGGCGGAUGCCUAAGUACCUUGUGAAAUCCCACGGCUCAACCGUGGAACUGCUUGGUAUACUGGGUGUCUUGAGCCACUUAGGGGCUACCGGAACAAAUGGUGGAGCGGUGAAAUGCGUAGAUAUCAUUUGGAACGCCAAUGGUGAAAACAGGUAGCUGGGAGUGUGCUGACGCUGAGACACGAAAGCCAGGGGAGCAAACGGG
rnacentral:rRNA from 1 species